rnacentral:rRNA from 1 species
AGUGAACGCUGGCGGCAGGCCUAAUACAUGCAAGUCGAACGGCAGCACAGCAGAGCUUGCUCUGUGGGUGGCGAGUGGCGGACGGGUGAGGAAUACAUGGGAAUCUGCCCAGUCGUGGGGGAUAACGUAUGGAAACGUACGCUAAUACCGCAUGCGCCCUACGGGGGAAAGCCGGGGACCGCAAGGCCUGGCGCGAUUGGAUGAGCCCAUGUUCGAUUAGCUAGUUGGCGGGGUAAAGGCCCACCAAGGCGACGAUCGAUAGCUGGUCUGAGAGGAUGAUCAGCCACACUGGAACUGAGACACGGGUCCAGACUCCUACGGGAGGCAGCAGUAGGGAAUAUUGGACAAUGGGGGCAACCCUGAUCCAGCCAUGCCGCGUGAGUGAAGAAGGCCCUCGGGUUGUAAAGCUCUUUUGUCCGGAAAGAAAGCAAUCGGUUAAUACCCGGUUGUUCUGACGGUACCGGAAGAAUAAGCACCGG